ensembl:lncRNA
AAUGAGUCUCAAUGUUCAUUCUGUUGGAUAUAUACUGAGCUUAAUGCUUUUCAAUACAGAAUUUAUAAUGCAAGCUAGAAUUAAACAUAUAAUGAAGUCACUCGUUUUCUAGGUCAAAAAAAUAAUUUUUUUCAUGCAUUCAGUUCAGUAGCCUGUGAUAUAUUGUUGUAAAUAUUUCUUUUUUGUAAAAAAUAUUUUUGUAGUCCAGGAGCUAAAUGUGUAAAUGUUUAGCUUCUUAUCUGAUUUAUACAUGUAUGAAAAGAAGCCAUAAAGAGCAAUAUUUGAUUCUUUGCAAAAUUAGAUUAAUAGAAACUGAAGUUUCCAGUCAAGGAAUUAAUAUAUUGGUGAGUAUCUGUGCAUUUACAAUUUUAUAUACAUACAUAAAAUUAUAUACAUGUAUACAAUUUAUUGAUUAUUGAUUAUGUUAUUCAGAGUUGUUCUGGACCUGCAGAGAUAUAUUCUCUUAUCACUUCUGUACCAGAAACAUCUCAGCCCAUAUCUGGAGACCUCGAACACCCAGAAUCACAUCAGGACAGCACAGCAGAUCCCACAGACACUCACUCUUUCAUUAUGUCUGAAAAUUCAAUAUACCAGCCAUCAGGUAAUGAAAUGUUUCUCUAAUUAAAGUGGUCAUAUUAUGAGGAAUCAAAUCUUUGUUCUGUUCACAUAAGAGUUGUUAAUAUAGGCCUACUAUGACAACAAACUGUGGUUUCACAACUCAAAACUUCCUCUGUAUUCCAAAAACUAUUUUUUUGGUGUCUACAUUUAGAAGAUGAGAUACUUAGCCUCCCAAUCAUUCUGAGCUAAUGUGGUGGAAGUUGGACAAAUAUUAAAUUCAUCACAACACUGACGCACAGAAUGAUUCAGUUCGAUUAUUCUGCUGUGUCAAAGCUAAAAAUACAUUAAAGUUUUAUGACAAAGAGCUUAUUCAUCAAGGUCAACAUGUUUAAUGCCUUUGCAUUGCAUUACAGAUGUUUUGGUCAACAAACAGAAACAGGGUAAUGCAGAGGAAAAUGAGGUAUGUUUGAACACUGUCACACACCAAACAUACAUAACUGUCCAUCAUGAACAGAAUACAAACACAUUUACUUGUGUCUUAAUAAUCUUUCUUCUUCCUUAAGAAUGUUUAUCACCUGUACUCCAUGAUCCCUGACAAACCAGUUCACUCAAACGCAGAAGAUCACGUGUACAGUUUGAUGAAGAUGCACUGAUGAAUCUCAUGUCUGUGUUCAUUAAGUAUAGCGACUAUAAAUAACAUGUCUUUACUUUCAGACAAAGCAGUAGUUGUUUAUUUUUUUAUUAUUCAGUUUUUAAUGUGGAAUAUACUGUGACUUCAUUGAAUAUCCAGAGCAUCUUCUCUGGCAAUCCCACUAGUACAGUACCACUAGUGUAGCUUGGGCAUUCAGUAAGACCUGAACUAAAAUUUUGAUGAUAAAUGAAAAUGUUUUACUUCUUUUCUGAUGAAAUUGAACCAUCUGAACAUUUGAACCAAAUCUUUUUUUCUUAUUAGUUUUCUGUAUUUUUUUUUUUUUUAAAUGCUUAAAUCAGUUUUUCAAGGUCCAUCAUGUGAUGUUAACUUCUCUUCCCACAAUACCCAGCCAAUUACGUCAGAGAUUUGUUUUGUUAGUAAUUCUGAAUGGUCUGUACUCUGUAUGUUUUAAGAAUCAUCCCCAAAGCUAAAGUAGAAUUUAAACAUUUAUCUUUUAAAAUGGAUUUUAUUUUAAAUGUUUCAGGCCUCUAAAGCUAUUAUAUCAGAUAUUAUUGUUCAUGCUCUGUGAUGCACAUAUAUUGUAUGUAAAUGUACACUACUUCCUAAUUCACCCAUUGUGUAAGACUCAUUCUGUCCAUUUUCUACAUUUACAUUUAUGCAUUUAGCAGACACUUUUAUCCAGGCUAACAUUUUUUACCUAACAUGUUCCCUGGAAAUCAAACCCACAACCUUUUGCGCUGCUAACGCAAUGCGCUACCACUGAGCCACAGGAACACCUCUCUGUAAUUGAGUUGUUCCUCAUAGUUUUUCUACUUUUUUUCUAGUUUUUUGUGGAGGUUCAGUCUUACAGUAAGUGAUCUCUGCUGUUUAUUUUCUUCUUAAAUAAUGUCCACAUUUAUAGGUAAAGUUUUAUUGUCUAAAAUAUUUCAGCAUGUCUGUUUGUUAUGUGUAAAGUUUUAAUAGAACUGAUAAUAGAAACACAUGAACUACCACCUGGCAUAUUCAUUUUACUAUAGAGACUAUUACUGUAGUAAGCCAAAUUUAUUUUUAUUUUAUCAUAUUGCAUGACAAAGGAUAAAACUAAAACACAGUAGCAUGUAGCAGACAGUAAAAAAGGCUAAAAAGACAAUAAAUAUGGACAAUAAAUACUGACA